CCCUAACAAUACACAAGUCUGAUAAACAAGUACUCAUUAAACAACAUUACGCUGAAGGAUCCAGCAGAGCUGUAUGACAAGGUCUAGACUUCAUCUCAGUGAUAGAAUCCAAUGUGUUUGAAGAGUAAUUAAUUAAGAGGAAUAGCUGAAUUAGGUUCAGUGCCUUUAAACAUAAAGAAGCUUACAAGGGGAAAUAUCUAGGAGGAGGAGAGCAUGUGACUCAGUUGAUUUCAUAGGUGAAUUAAACUUUUCCCAGAACUAUUGAGCUGCAGCAGAACUGGUCACGCUGCUUUUUUUUCUCAGCAUCUUUCUUGAAGUACCAUCGUUUCUGGGAUGGCAGAAACAAGUUUUAUUGUGAGGUGGUAUGAAGAAUCCCAUCUGUUUUAAAUCUGCAUGCUCUCUUUAGUCUCAGUGACUCAACUGUUAAAUAAGGGCCUGAUUCUUGCAAGCAUCAUGAUUACAGCAUGGACCAUACACACAGUGGGGUUCCUCUCAGGAGGCGUCUUCUAGUUGUUUAUGUUCCUCAAUGUUCUGCAGCCUGAAUCAUGUUCCAAGUGAGGAGUGCACUGUACAAAGUCUAUUACCUCUAUCCUAAGUUUUUUGGGGAGCAGAGGGAUCAUCUGUUUAACUGAAGUAUCUCAAAUCUUAUUGCUGCCAUUCUUAGAAGCAGCGCAUUUAUUGCCAGUGCACUUCUUUUCACCCAGCUCAGGUGGGCAAUGCAAAAACAAAGAGAGGAAAAGCAGUAACUGUUGCACAGCUGUGAUAGUCCAACAGCAGUACUUAGAACAUGUUUUCAUCCUGAGAAUCUGCCUUGUUUUCCCAGAGUGAAAAGAUAUACUAGGCUUAUAGGCUUGCUACACUAAAAAGAAAGCAUGAAACAAUGCUCUCUCAUUGUGUGACAUAUUUUACAUUUAUUCCUCCUUCAUUUCUUGCCCAGAUUUUUGUUUUGUUUUUUUUGUUUUUGUUUUUGUUUAGUAACUCAGUAACUGAUUUAAAGCACAAAAGCCCACUUACAUAGUGCUAUUGAAUCCUCCACAACUCCAUUGCUUUCACCUUAAAUGAAAAUUAUCUCUGUUUGAAUAGGUUUCCAAAUUAGCACAAGGUGAGAGUGGGAAGCUGACUGCACUGGUGUGGGGUAAACCUGGGGUGUAGCUGGGGUGUAACUAAGACUGCUGCAUGUUUGGGGAAAGAGUAGUUAAAAAACUGGACUUCUUGUUGAAAACUUGAAAGUUUUCUAUAUUAAUAUUAUGAUAUAAGACUUAGCUUAAUUCCACUUUUGGAAACAUCUAAAAAGUAACAGCAGGAUUUGUUUCAGCAAGCAAUGAACCACAAAAAUUGACCAUUCACACAUCCCUUAAUCUGGCUACUCUCGCACUGCGGGAAGCCUCUGUGAACACAGCAGUCAAUGAGGUGCUCCAAAUCACAUUAGAGCUUGGCAGGCUUCAUCCUGCAGUAUGAGAUGUGCAAAGAUAAUGAAAAUCUUUGUCCUAGACCAGCUGAAUCCCCAAAGACCUCGCUCAGAAGCCAGCGCGCUGAUCCCACUAAGUUUAUUUACAAAAAAAUCUCAGAAGACUGAGCUGGUUCGGCACCAAGCUCCACCCCAGGUCUAAAGCUGCACAAGAUAACAGCGCGGGAGAGAGGCCAGACAGCAUUGCUUGCCAGCUCCAGCCUUUGAGAUUUAGUGUGCUGGGAAAGAGAAGAGUUUAGCUCUCUUGCAGAGGAGGCUUUGCCUAACAAGACUUCACAAUUCAGAAGAUGUCUCGGGUGACUGCUUCCUGACAUUAGCAGGAGAGAAAGCAGGUGGAGGUAAUGAAGCCAAGUGAGGCUCUGGAGAGUUCGCCCCAAAAGGGAGGGUAAAGGAUGGUCACUGCCUAACCCAAAAUUUUGUCUGUUGCUGUACCAAAUGAAGUGCAAACACUACCCUGCUCUGUACAUUUUGAUAGAAGCUAAUCAAUCUAAAUGCAUGCAUUAAAGAAAAAGUAGAUGAGCUCUUGGCAGCAUCCCCAACUAUUUCUAUAUGAAUCCUUACAGCUACAUUUUUCACAAUUUAGGUGCCAAGCCUUGGAAAGUUUGAGUCUAUAGCUAUGGAAAGAAAAGAUCCCAGGUGAUCAGUGCCAUGAGUUCUUCAGUUCUUGGUCUAUAUUUUAGGUAAAAAGAUAAUCUCUUGGAAUUUUUAGUAAUUAUAAAAUACUGUGAACUGAUUGUACUUGAGAGCUGUCCAGCUGAAAGCUAAGUGAACUUUCUUGUUUCUGUACAGAGAAAUAAGGCCAAAACAUAGGAUAAACUACUAAUACUUAAAGCUGUGUAUAUUGAUUUUAGUUUAAAUAAUCUUGAUUUUAAAAGCCAGUGAGAGGAAUUUUUCAAGCUAUGGGUCAUGAUGCCAAUCCAACAUGCAGCAGCUAUUCUAAACAAGAUUGUUUUCCAGAUGGAAAAGACAUUUCAUUCUCUUUAUUUUAUGUUUUAGUGGUGUGAAAUGCUUUAUGUUUUCAGCUCCCAGGUGAAGGGAAAAAAAAGUAUUCAUAUUCAAUAUAUUUUGUAGCCAUCAGAAGUGGAAAAAAAAAGAAAUUGAAAUGGAAAAAGAAAUGAAAGAAGAGGAAAAAAGAGAUUUUUUUAUAAGCAAAAAGGAAUUGAAUUGCAAAAGAAAUUUCCUGAAAAUAAAAGAAAUCUUAAUAUUCCAAGAUUAAAAGAUCUGAAGUGUUAGUGAUACAAUAAUAACGUAAGGUGCAGGAAUAGAAGGACAAAAUGCACAGUUUAAAUUAGACUCCAUUACCAUGACGUGUUUCAUCCUGGGAAGAGAGUGAUGGUCAAUUUUUAUUCCAACACUGCAUUGAUUUUAGAUUUGUUUUGGUUUUCAUGCAUAUAUGGACAGAUUCGUGACUGAUAUACUUGCAUGUCAGUGAAAUCUGUUUAUGAAAGGUCAGAGCUAUGCUAGUCUUUGUGGUACAGAACAUAUCGUCUACUUCUUGCAUGAUGAAUUUGUUCCAGCCAGCACUGGCACUCACCAGUACCUGUAUGGCUGGUGGUCAGUAGCACUGUUUUCUAAAAAAAAUAGGCAGUAGCCACAUUUUUAUGGAUAACAUCCCAAAACCAGUUCAGUUUGGAACUAUGACAUGUAUUUGCAAUCUGUGACUGACUACAGCAUCACUGUAUAAUCCUGCUAUCAAUACUAUGCAUGCCAUCUUCUGCAAACAAUUAUUUGUUUUUACAUGAAUUGAAUGUUAUCUUUUUUCAGGAAAACUGGUAGAUGUGUAAUACAACAAACAUCAAAUUAUGUCAAAAGCGUCUUCAAUAGCACUCAAGUAAAUAAAACCAACUCAUAAGCCAUAGAGGAAUGUGGUUGUCGUUAAAGCUGAAGGUUACAUAGAAGAUCCCCAUCCAAUUGAACAGUCUGAGUGUUUUGCAAAAAUUGGUAGGAAUGAUAAACCAAGGGGAUGUUGGGGAGCAGUAUGUCACACAUAGCAAAGUUUAUUGCAAUAAAAUCACCAUCUGACCCCUGCUACACUAAUUGCCCCCACAACAUCUGGCACUGAUGGCAGGUCAGAACUCAAAGAGGAAAACGUCAGCAAGCCAGGACUCAGAACAGUCAAGGCUUUCAGAACAGGGCUGGCUUGGUGUUUUGCUAUUGCCUAAACCGAUUACAUGAAGACUGCAGAAAGCUUCCCCUAGUGCAGUGUGCACUUAGCCAACACUCCAUGGCUUUGCACACAGGCUUCCAGGUGGGCUGUGCCACAUGGAAUUGCCAAGCCUUGGCUGCUGCAGCUACACAAUAUGCAAACAACCCAAAAUCACAUGAACAGAAAAGAUCAAUUUCUUAAAAUGACAACGGAUUGAGGAUAUGACAGCAUGCUGCUGACGGGCAGGAAUGAAAAGCAGCUCAGUUAAUACCCAGAAUUCUCCAUGUUCCUCAGUUUUCUCAGUUUCCUUAAGGGACCACUUAAUCUACAAGUACAGUCCCCGACUUCUUGUAGUAAACUCUGAAUUCAAAGUCAGUUUAAACUGAGAACUGUGCACUGAACACAUAUUAGGGCACUGAUAUUGCUUCUUAUUUCGUCAACAGGCAACUCUUCUACUGGGACUGCAGAUCAAGCUCUUUGAAGAUUUAGAAAUGCCUUUUUUUCAAGACAUAUCCUUCUGUCUGUGAGGUAUCCUCAAGAUUGAGGAAAAACAAGAUACAUUUUUUUUACAACAGCAUAUCAACAAGAACAUGCAGAGUGAGCAUGAGACCAGGGAAGCCUCUGGGCAGAAGUUAAGACACAAACCCGUUCCUCAUUUUAUUUUACCGCAGCUGUGCAAUCCGAUUGUUCCCUGUAAGCAGGCAGCCCUACGGCUUUCUUGGAGAAGUCUGUGAGGAAGCAGAAGGAAAAGACUCCGCUCUUGGUCACCAGACUUAUCCCUUCCUAAUGCCCCAAGCACUUGGCAGCCUUAUAAAGUCCUGCAGUAAUAAGCCCUAUGUUGCUAAGUUGUGCAGUCUGACCUGCAAAACCUCCCACUGACAUGCUGGCCAAUGUGCAUUCAUGGAGGGAGAAUAUGCAACACUGCUCCAUUUCCUUCAAAAGUUUCAACAUACUGCAAAGUGGCUGUGUUGUUACAAGAACAACUUUGAUGGGACUUGAACAUCAUCUCUAAUGAAUACACUGACCAAAACAAGAGGCUCUUCAAUGCUCGUGCCAGCCAUCCUUCCUGGUUCUGGAAUUCUAUCUGAAAAUGAAAAAUAAGCAUAAAUGUUUUCACACGUUUGGAGAGCCAGAGAUGCAACUGUUAAUAAGAACUUUGAUGUGGAAUAUCAUCAUAGCAAGCUCAAUUUUACAACUGAGUUUUUUCAUCCAACUGCAAGACCAAAGACUGGAUCUCAGAUUGCUUCAACCCAGCUCUAAUGAAGUCAGCUGACAGGAACGUCUGACCGCAACUUGUAUCGACAUCCCCUGUGUACCAGUUCAUUUGAAUAUUCAUUCAACAACAUAAGCAAGAAGGACAAUUUCUAAUAGGAAAAGCAAGACAGAUGUUAAAUAUGAGACUGUGAAGGCUGAGUAUAUGAAUGCACUUGAUUACCUUGAUUUCUGAUAGGAAUAAGAAUCUUCUAACAAGAAAGAUUAGUUAUAGCAGCUUUGGCACUGACAUUCUAUGUCUUCAGCCCCCUCUACUGGCAGAAGAGGAACUACAUCAUCUUCAUCAAUUCAGUAUUAAGGAAAGGUGUUUAUUCAGUUCUUCCCUUAUGCUUUUUAGAUACUGCAGUAAUAUCUUAGACUUCAAAAUUUUUCAAAUUUCUGGAUACAAAAGGAAUAGGUGGUAGUACUAUGCUGAUAAUAUUAAAUAGCCCAAAAUCCCACAGAGCAGAAGGUGAAGCAAUAUGCCAAACAGACUCCUUAAAAGGGAAAAUAAAAGACCAACAGUCCCUUUCAUUUUGUAGCUUAGGCAGUAUUAACAGCAACCACGCAGAGAGCACGAAGGGAAAUAAGAUUCAGCAGUGCCCUAUGGAUCAGUGAAGUUGGAGCUUAAGUUUCUGCAGUUGGUGGGACGUGAAUUAGAUCCUCAGAAAGAUUUAUUCCUGUACACAGAACUGGCUGCUCAAACAUUAUGAAUGUUCUAUGGAAAUUAUGAGGACAGAUGAGAAUAUUCCCCUAUUUAAUUUAUCUUACUAAGAAUUUGUGUCAAAAUUUCUGUUUUAAAUCGCCAGUGGACCAAGACUGCCUCUAGCUGACCCAUUCCAGAUCUGUAGUUGUGUAAGGAAGUACAGUUUGGCCAGUUUAAUGAAAAUGGGAAAACAAUUUGUUAGGUCAAAUUUAAAUGAGUUUUCAGUUUUUCACGGUCCAAAAGAAUUAAAAGAAUAAAGCUAAACAAUUUGGAUUUCUCUGCUUCCCUUCACUAUAACAGACAGCUGCAGCUACCACACAUUAACAAGAGCUUCGCAGUACCUGUUAUGCUGCAAAAAAUUAUACACAUUUUGCUAUCCCUUAUUUUUAAGAAUGCCUGCUUUCUAAAUAAAACAGCCAUUCCAAUAAAAUAGCCAUCUAUCUUUCCAUUUGUGAAGGCAAUCAGAUUUGCACACAUUACAUAGCAUUAACAUACCAACAGAAGAGAAGAAGACUUGAGAAGCUGUCUAAGUUGGGCACUUAUUUAAAUAAAGGAACAUAAAGAGGUCAUUUUAGAAAUCAGAAGUUAGAUCUAGUAGAGCUAUUCUUAAAUGAAUAUAUGAGCAAGAGGGAUGGACAGGUCAGAUGGCUUAAUGGUAUUCUGGCAUACAAACGAUGUCCUACUGAAGAAUUUUUUCUAUAAAAAAGGUUUCUGUACAAAACAUUCCUUGUACAGAGAAGGAAGUACCCUGUGUCCACUCGUGUUCAUGCAGCUAUCAGCAAAUCUAGCUCACAGAAAACCCCGUCGCAAAUAAAAGUUCUGUGAAGAUGACCCUAUAGUCAGACCCACCU